rnacentral:rRNA from 1 species
CUUGUCAGAAUCCCCAUGCCAUCCUCUCUAUGGUGUAAGAUAAAGCCCAUCAUGACUGAUUAGUGUCAGUAGACUACGAUAUUUUUAAUUUUUCCUCACCCAAUAUUUGUAUGACGUAAUUAUAUAAUAAUUGAUCAACCUUUCAAGUAUCAUGUCUUAGAUAACUAAUGAUUGCCAACAUCUGAUCACUUUGAGCUGACAACAUGCUAAACUCAGCCUGUGGGACUCCAUAUUUUGCAUUGUCCCUUCGAGUUUACAGACGCAUUUAAUGUUAGUAGCCUUAGGCAUCUGUCAUUCCGAGCUGCUGAGGCCAUCAUAAAUUUUUCGCAGAUUUCGCCAAUGCGACAUCACUGCAUACUCACAUCUUUCUUCCGAAAUCGCUUUUGUUCGCCCCGAGGGUCGGCGUUUGCAGGUACGGUCAGUUGCACGGGAUAAUACCCGCAACUGACGGCACCUGCAGAAUAAGCACCGCCACCACGCGCCAGCAGCCGCGGUAAUACGUGUAGGGUGAAGCGUUAAUCGGAAUCACCGGCGCAAAAGCGUGCGCAGGCGGUUCGGAAAGAAAGAUGUGAAAUCCCAGAGCUUAACUUUGAACCGCAUUUUUAACUACCGAGCUAGAGUGUGUCAGAGGGAGUGUGAAUUCCGCGUGUAGCAGUGGAAAUGCGGACAUGCGGAGAACACCGAUGGCGAAGGCAGCCUCUGGGAUAACACUGACGCUCAUGCACGAAAGCGUGGGGAGCAAACAGGAUUAGAUACUCCUGGUAGUCCACGCCCUAAACGAUGUCAACUAGCCGUUGGGGCCUCGGGCCCGGCAGCGCAGCUAACGCGGUGAAGUUGACCGCCUGGGAGUACGGUCGCAAGAUUAAAACUCAAAGGAACGACGGGGACCCGCACAAGCGGUGGAUGAUGUGGACGACCGAUAACGCGAAAAACCUUACCUACCCUUGACAUGUCUGGAAUCCCGAAGAGAUUUGGGGAGUGCUCAAAGAGAACCGAACACAGGUGCUGCAUGGCUGUCGUCAGUCGUGUCGUGAGAUGCUGGGUUAAGUCCCGCAACGAUGCUAAACCUCUUGUCAUUAGUUGCUACGAAAGGGCACUCUGACGAGACUGCCGGUGACAAACCGAGGAAGGUGGGGAUGACGUCAAGCUCUCAUGGCCCUUGCGGGUAGGGUCACACGUCAUACAAUGGUCGGGACAGGUCGCCAACCCGCGAGGGGAGCCAAUCCCAGAAACCCGAUCGUAGUCCGGACCAGUCUGCAACUCGACUGCGUGAAGUCGGAAUCGCUAGUAAUCGCGGAUCAGCAUGUCGCGUAUACGUUCCCGUGGUCUUGUACACACCGCCCGUCACACCAUGGGAGUGGGUUUUACCAGAAGUAGUUAGGCCUAACCGUAAGGAGGGCGAUUACCACGGUAGGAUUCCAUGACUGGGGUGAAGUCGUGGCCAAAGG